rnacentral:ncRNA from 1 species
AGAAGGGAUAGCGAAAUUGUGGCUCUACGAACAGAAAUAAGAUAUAAAGGCGAUUUAGGCGGACAAGUUGGCCAUAGACAACAAAAUCCAAAUAGGCAAUCGUAACCCUAAACCGUAAAUCUUAAGAGUAAACAAGGAAAGAUG